rnacentral:misc_RNA from 1 species
AACGCACAUUGCGCCUCUUGGUAUUCCUUGAGGCAUGCCUGUUCGAGCGUCGUUUAGACCAUGAGGCUUUGCCUUGCGAUGGACUUCUUUGGGGAGAUUGGAAAGAUCUCACGAAGGGUCCCAAAACGAUUGGCGUCGUCAUUUCUGCCAGUGUCACACCCACGUGUAGCACACAGGAUUACGGUUGCCCAGCUCACGACCGAUCGAGACUCACAUCUCAAUCGUAAAGGUCGACCUCGGAUCAGGCAAGACUACCCGCUGAACUUAA